GGGGCUCCUCCAGCUCUUCACCUGAGCAGGUGAGAGACGCCAGGCUCGGGGCAAAGCCUGAACUCCAGAGAAUAAACAACAGACUCUGACCUCCCCACAGCAUUCCUCCCUCACCUCCUAACCCCACAAGGGAACGAACGACCUGUGGUAAGGAACUGGCAAAAGGCCCCACGGUCGGGCAUGGUCAUCUGUAUCUGUAAUUCCAGCACUGAGGCGGUGAAGGCAAGAGGGUCAGAAACCCAAGGCCGCCUUCCUCAAGAAGAAUGCCUGGGAAGAAGGAAAUUGCCGCUUCUGUAUUUGCUGCAGAAAACUGCAAUGUGUGAUACCAUCAAGGAAGCUGGAGUCCCACGUCAAAGGAGACACACUCAUUGGUGAGUCAAGAGAUCUGAACACCAGCAAGGAAAGUUACUAUGACUGGCUGGAAGGCAUCAGACACACCAUUUAUCCCCAAUUUUCUAAAUAAACACAGCUCUAUUCACUUUUCCAAGAAGGCCAUUGACUCUAAAAACAAAACAAAACAAAAACAUUCAACAGUGAAGGACUAUGAUUUUUCUCUUGAAGAGGUCUAUCACGGCUAACUGCUAAAGACAGUUAUCUUAGCUAAGGUGAAUAUGUCACAGGAAAUGCCAUUUAAAUAGACGCUUUUUGUAUGUGCUUGAGUAAGACAUGGGAAUAUUUUUACUGGAAUUUCUAGUUCUCUUUUCUUAGAAAAAUAAAUAAAUAAAACGUU
rnacentral:lncRNA from 1 species